UUUGUGUGUUUGAAUUGCUUUUGAAGUCCUUCUUCUAUCCAUACUAAUAUCCAUAAUUAAGAUUUUAUUUUUUUAAUGAUUAUAUGGCUGAAGCUGAUAUUUCUAGAGGUAAAAAACACAAACCAAACAAAACAUCUCAAUGCUGGGCAGAUUCCUGCUAAGUGGUCUGUAUAGCACCACUGAUGUGCAAAAGAACAAGAAGUAAAAAUGCCAGAGUUCCUCCUCCUCUCAUUUUUCGUGGUAUAUGGACAGAACUGGUGGAAUGUGAGACUCAGGGCAUAAGAAAGAUGUGGCACUCGAUUCUGCUUUUUAAAGAGUAUCCUAAUUGUAAGUAUCUUCAAGAGUUCUUUACUUCUUAUAAUUUUAACAGCCCUAUCUUGCUGUGUAAUACCAUUAAUAUGUACCUAGUGCAAGGUAUUGCAAGAAGUAUUCCUUUUUCUUAAGGGGGAACCUUAUCCUGAUUGCUUAACAGAACACUUUCAUUAAUGAAAUGGUGCUGCUUAUCACAAAAUCAGCUUUGUUCAUGUUUGCAUUAUUGUAGCUUCAAAAUGCUUCCUCUUUAUCCAUGGUUCUUUCCUGAUGAUAUUGGAAGUAGCAUGGUUCCCAAAAAGAUGUUUUAGCAUUUCUCUUCUGAGUAACUAUGAAACACUGAAGUACUUUCUAUUGAUUUAGAUUUUGUAUCUCAUAGGUCCUGAUCCCUCAACUGAAAUAUUUAACAGGGGAAUGUCUGGGAGUGGUUUAUUAAUGAAAUGUAUAUAGUCUAGAAUGUAGUGCACUGUUGACAGAUUCAGUAGGAGUCCCCAUCUGACCAGUAAAGACUGGCAGUGUAAAGCACUCUGAGGGCAAGGCCAAGCACAAAGCAGAAUAAUUUAGGCCCAUUUGCCUGUGUAAAAUUCCUGCAAAACUGAUUAUAUUUCCCUUCAUGCGAGGAGAAAUGCAACAUACUCUCAGCUGUCAUCUGCUAGGGAAUCAUCUUCUGGAACACACAGCCAGUUUGAUUGUGGGACACUUAGUCCAGGUGGAAUUUCUCCAACUUGCUGGAGUUAAAUUGUUGCCAGGAUUGUGUCCUGCAAAUAAAUAGAGGAAAGAGAUAGUCCUGCUGGAGACCUGAUUCUCAAAAAAAAAAAAAUUUUUUUUAAACAAAUGGCAUUUCUGAGAAAUUAAGUAAAAUGUUUCAAGAUAAAAGAAUGUUUGAGAAAUUGAGUAAAAUGUUUCAAGAUAAAAGAAUGUUAAAUAUAGCUAGAAAUAAGAGAGCCAUAUGUUGAAAGCAUAUCAGCUUUGAAACCAUGCACUUAACCCUGGGACUCAACAAGAUCUCACAUUUUAAAUAAAAAAUUUAACUUCCUGAAAAGAUAAAGUUCAUUCAUCUUAAGGGUAGCCUAGAAAAAAAAUAGGGAAACGUAAUCUGUGGAGAAACCCUUCACUUAGAUAAGCAUCUUUGACAUUAGGAAAAAAGAAUAUAAUGUGUAAAAAUAAGAUGGGUUGUAUCCAUUCCUAAAGAGCUCUGUUGUUACAUUUGUACAUCAAAGUAGGAUUAGGGUUAUUUUCUGAGUGGUUUUUUUGGCUAACAAGUACAUUAUCUUACAAAACCAUUGCCAGAAACAUAAAAUCUUUGUUCAAUGGGAAAGAAAUGCACCAUUUUAGCACUCCUAUUUGAAACAUUAUACAGAGUGCAGGCUGUUCUAAGUUCAAUGCAAGUGUUACAUAAAUAUACCCAUUAGAAAUUUGGUCCUCUAGAAGGAGUUUAUUUGGAUGCUUCUAAAUAAUAUUGAUAAAUGUCAACAUUUGAGCAUAAGACAGUAUGCACAGUUUGUCCAACCAUCAUCUAUGUUCAAUUGAAUUGAUUUUAUUUCUUACACAGGCUGAGUUUUCAUCCUGGAAUAAGUUUUCCAGUAACAAAAGGACAGAUCAGGAAAUGUGUAAAAUGGAUCAGUGCCCAAAAGACUAAGUUAUACAUCUAUUCUUGGAAAAACAUGAGGACAUGAUGUCUUAAAAAGAAAGGCAUAAAUCACAGAACAUAAAUUCAUUUGAACUUGCAUGUUGAGCCGCACUGUCUCUAGAAAUCCUCAGCAUGUUGCUGACUGUGACACGUAGGCUCUGCUUUGGAGGUCCUUACCUUAGACAGGGAGGGCCAGUGAGUGCCAUUGGAAUAGAGUGGCCAACUUCCCCAGGGAUUUUACUGAUUUUCAUGGAGGACUCCAUCUUCAUUGGAGCUUUCUUUCAUUCAAGAGGCAUUCAAGUUCUUGCCGUUUCGGACACAUUUGAAAACACUUUCCAGGUAAAACUGUUGAGUUUACAUUCCUUGUUUCAAAGAACCCACGUGUUGUCUGUGCCUGCACAAACUAGUCUGACACCCUUUUAGAAAUCAGGUUUACCUUUUCCCUUUUGUACAGAACACUUUAUAAGCCCCAGUAAAACUGCAGCCAUGGUGGAGAAACAACACGUGGUGCCAGUGGUAACAGCCUCUGAGAAAGAAGGAAUAUUUAAGGAAUUAAGAGUACAACAAUCUCUGAUAAAACCUGCCCAGUUAUUUAGUAUCAUAAAUGCAUUUUGGAACAGUGUCAUGUUCAUUAUAUACAUUAAAAGAAGCAAACAUAUAUUUGAUUGUCUCAUUAAGAGCAAAAGUUAUAUUUUUCAAUAAUGUCCAUGGCACUGGAUCCAAACUGUUGGAGAAUUGCUUGAAUAAAUGCACUGUGUUUUCAUGAUGUAUGCUUUCUCUAGAAGUUACCCUACCUUCUGAUGAUUGAGUCUAACCCUCUUUAACUACUUUGACAAGAUUAUUGCCUGAAGUAACAUUUUUAAUUAGCAUUCUUGUUUGUUUACGUCUAGAGAUUGAGGGGGAAAAUAACUAAAAGCUUUGGAACAGCUCUUGAGUCUGCACUUGCUCUAAGCUGGAAGAAAAUAAUUUUUAGUAUAUGUUUAAAAUUAUGUAACACAUUUCAGAUGUUGGUUCCGAUUACUGUUAAAAUGACAUUCAAAUCUGGGAGUGUUUCUCGCUGGUUUUGUCCUUUUAAAAAUUUCCACUGUGCUUUUUUUCAUCUUUAAUUAAAUUUCAAUUCAUUUUAUAAUAGCAAUUAAAGUAUUUACAGCAAGAAAUUCUAUCCAUUUGCAAAACUGCAAUAAAUUGUAACCUUUUCACAAACAAACAAACUUUGUAUAAGGUUUGCAAAGUCUUUUUCCUGUAUUUGUAAGGCAUUGAAGGGUAGAUCAUCAGCUGGUAUAAGUCACUGUCAUUCACUGGAGUCAGAAGAGCAAUUUUGAUUUACAGCAGUAGAAUUUGGCCAAUAAUCUAAUUAAUAUAAUCAAAACCAUGUACAGACACCAGAAUAAACAAUACCAAACAGUAAGGCAAGUAACCUAUCUUACAAUGAAAAUAAAAUGAAUGUCCCAGGCUUCUUAAAUCACUGUUUCAUUACAUAGCUUUGCUUUCUAUCAUCUUUGAUCUCCUUCAUUUCAUUAGAGCAAACUUCUCGUUAGAGGCAUUAAUGUCUUCCUAUGAAAUGGAUCUCACUUUCAACACUGAUAUCUACUGACUUUUUCCAGUUUCAGCUUCAGUCUUUUUAUACAGUACUUAAAAAAAGAAAAAAAAAAAAGCAAAAAACAAAACAAAUUAUUACAUCAUAAGUAGAGGAACAUAUGACACAUCCAAAAGUGAGUACACAAUAAAUAUGUUUCUAAUAAAUACUUUGGUGCUGAGUAAAUUACAGAAGAGAGCAGACAAUAAACCACCAUUCUGCUAUUUAUGCUUUUUCUUAGCAUGGUAGCAGUUAUUAAAUUAGUUUAAUCGUAGCCAAGCAGUUGAGGUGCAGUAGCACUGCUUAUUACACCAGCCAUUAUCAUCUCACUGUUACCUUGGGCUUUCCUCAUCUGUUUUGUAUUCACUGUAUUGCUCAGAUUCAUAGCUUGCAAGCUUUCUUAUGUUAUAUAAAAAAUGGGUAUAUUUGCAUGUCACAACUGGGCCUUGAUAUAUGAUUAUGGCCUUCAAGGUUUUUUCAAGAAUAUAUACUGAUUAUAAUAAUUUCAGGGCAAUGGAAAAAACUCAUUUAGCCUCAGGAUAGAACACUGUGUAAAAAUUUUACCCUGUUCAGCUUGUAUUGAUUCACAGCUGCACAGAGAAACAGAAGAGAGAAAGCUUAGAAGAGCAUGCCCACUACAUACCAAUUUUAGCAAUGGUUGUACCCGUAGUAAAUUCUACAAAGUUAGGGCAUUUUUUUCAUUAAGUUAUACCAGUUCAAUUGUGGGUUUUGUGAAUUCUGAGUAUU